ACCCAGAUCAGAGUGAUCGGCGCAAUGGAGCCUGGAAUAUGCACGAAAAUGCUCAGAAAUUUGAGUGAAAAACUCGCAGCAAAAUUUCUCGCCACUACACUUAGCUACUCUGUGGAAAAAAUUGCCCGUCUCGAUCAUGCUUUCUCAGAAAUUUUUGAACUGGAAGCAAGCCCAGUAGAAGGUCAAUCACUGCAGCGAAAAGAUAAGAAAAGGAGAAGAACAAACAACCGAAAAGCCUAAAGAGGAAGGUCACUUUCUCGUCCAAAAGCUCGAAAUUUUAAUUUCUGCGCAUGCCCGAGCAAAAAUGUCGAAAAACGCUUUGCAUGCCUGUGACAUUGGAUCACGUUUUAUGACUCGUUUCAUAAUUCAUCUUUGUCAAUAUUUGAACCUGAAUUAGCGAUACUUGCAUUUCCAACGACUGGGGCGUAGUGAUAAGCCUCUAUACUCUAAAAGUUUAACGUAUAACAUACAGGAUCAAACCAAAGAAUAGCUACUUGCUUCCCUCAAGGUUGCUUAUCUUUUUGCUGUUCCUCUAAAGGAUACAUUCACAGCCAAGAAUGAUAGCCAAGUGUUUUACUGCAGGUCACUGGCUCUAGCCUACAUUGAGUGCACAGUUUUGCAAAGAUUUAAAGAAGCCAUUUUCAACGAGGAUGAAACUCCACCAGCCCUAAAACCAGUUCUUCUUAGACUUUGUUCUUUGUAUGGCUUGUCUUCUCUGGAGACACAUCUCACCACUCUAUACCAAGGCGGCUUCUGCUGUUCAGCGAACGACGCCAGGAUUGUAAGAGCAACUAUCCUUAGUCUCUGCUACGAGUUAAAAGAACAGGCUGUAGCUCUUGUGGAUGCCUUGGCUCCUCCAGAUUUUAUCCUCAAUUCACCCAUUGGACACAGUAAUGGAAAGGCCCACGAAAACUUACACGAAGCGAUCAUGCAGAACCCAGAGAACCUGAGACGAAUUUCCUGGUGGAAGGAAUGUCGUCAACUUCCGGUCAUCCGGGAUCGUAGCAAGUUGUGAAAAAGAAUGCGUUGAAAAGUAUACCGAGGAAAUGUUUUGUUCUCUUCACACGAUCUCCACAUCUAUUAGGAUUCAUAGUUACUCAUUUCACAAUAGAAAUAUACAAAUAGCCUCCAUUUGACUUGAAACAUUGUCAAAAUGGCUGUGGAACCACGAGCCGCAGACAAGUGGUUCCGCAGGAAACUUUGUCAAUGUUAUGACGAAAUUUAUCAUCAAAAAGAGGACAGACUCAUAAAAAACUGACGUUGAUUUGUGUUUUACAAUAACAAAACCCCAGAAAGGUCGAAUGCCGGGAAUUAAUGAGGGGAAAAGAGGCCAUAAACUUGCCGUAAACAAAGACAAGUGAAUUUUAUUCAAAUUGACGCGAACAGUGGCAAUAGCUUU